rnacentral:pre_miRNA from 1 species
AAAAAGACAAACCCUGGUUUCUGUGUCCAACGUUUCACCGUCCGUCUUAUUUGAAAAAAAUUAAAAAGACAAGUCACGCAUAAAAUAUAAAUCAUGUUUUAUCAUCUAACAACAAUGAAAAUACGAAUUAUAAAAAAAUUUCAUAUAAGACGGACAGUCAAAGUUGGACACGAAAAACCAGAGUUUGUCUUUUU